CGAUGUAGAUAUCAUGGCCAAGACACUAAUUGGCCACAUUUCUGAUUCGGAUCCAAAACGAUUCGGAUCUUACGCUGAGCUCUUUUAUUAUUAGGAUUAUCCAGACUGUUGGCUCAUCCAUUAAUUUUACAACGAAUAUAAUGGUGAGAGAUGUUCACAUUGCAUCUACUUCUUCCUCUUCAGAGACAUCCUUUUGCUUUUCUAGUUU
rnacentral:sRNA from 1 species